CAGCCGCCACGGUAACACGUAGGGUGCAAGCGUUAAUCGGAAUUACUGGGCGUAAAGCGUGCGCAGGCGGUUUGUUAAGACAGAUGUGAAAUCCCCGGGCUUAACCUGGGAACUGCAUUUGUGACUGGCAAGCUAGAGUCUGGCAGAGGGGGGUGGAAUUCCGCGUGUAGCAGUGAAAUGCGUAGAUAUGCGGAGGAACACCGAUGGCGAAGGCAGCCCCCUGGGCCAACACUGACGCUCAUGCACGAAAGCGUGGGGAGCAAACAGGAUUAGAUACCCCGGUAGUCCCUGUCUCUUAUAC
rnacentral:rRNA from 1 species